AAACAACACAAGCAAAAUAUUAACUAAACAAGUUAAAAAAAAAAUACUAAUUAAUUAAGCAACUAAAAUAAAGACAUGAAAUUUUUUUUUUUCUCAAAUGGGUUAGUGGGCUUUUUGGGCUUUGGUUGGUUGCGGGCCCAUUCUGGUGAAGUGGGUUCUCAACCUGAGUAAACCAGCCGUCCGAUUCAUUCCUUAAAAUCAUCCAAUGGUUUGCUUGGAAACCGAAAAAGCUGAGGUUGCUUCCUUCCUGGGUCAGAGAAGCUCCGUUGAAAAGUCGUGUUCAGCUCUCCAUCCUAUAUAUAUACCCUCCCUUCUCACUCCAUCUUCCACUCUCAUCCUUCCUCAACCAUUUCAGAACAUCAUCUCCUCCGAUCAUAUAUAUUCUUUGAAGCGGUCUUGGAAAUGGCGACGCAGGCCCAAGUAGCAUCUGCUUUGGAGAUCAUCGAACAGCAUUUACUUGGUGAUCUUCUCUCACCUGUUGGUAUCUCUUGUUCCUCUUCUGCUUCUACCACCUCUCUAAUUGAUAAUGUAAACAUGGAGCUUUCCAGCUCUCAGUCUGUGUCUGACUGCUCCC
rnacentral:misc_RNA from 1 species